rnacentral:rRNA from 1 species
UACGUAGGGGGCAAGCGUUGUCCGGAUUUAUUGGGCGUAAAGAGCUCGUAGGCGGUUUGUCGCGUCGAAUGUGAAAACCCGGGGCUCAACCCCGGGCCUGCAUUCGAUACGGGCAGACUAGAGUUCGGUAGGGGAGUCUGGAAUUCCUGGUGUAGUGGUGAAAUGCGCAGAUAUCAGGAGGAACACCGGUGGCGAAGGCGGGACUCUGGGCCGAUACUGACGCUGAGGAGCGAAAGCGUGGGGAGCAAACAGG